rfam:Bacterium JGI-4 isolate JGI-4 genome assembly, contig: JGI4_Kryptonium_JGI_4_Dewar_Creek_draft_1000019.5
GGUAAGGUCCUGCGCAACGGGAUUGUGCUGAACCCCGCCAGGCCCGGAAGGGAGCAACGGUAGGCAACUAAUCUCGUGUGACGCAGGGGUGCCUGCCCAUC